UGUUUCCUCAUGCUCACUGCUCCCCUUCCAGAACUAGAAACUGAAACUCUGCAAGUUAUCCUCGUGCAACUAGGAAAGUGGGGACAGAAAUGCAAACUGGCUUUAUUUGUGAAUAAGUCCAACCACAUGAGCCAUACAGUGCCGUGUUCCACCAAAGUCCCACAGCCCUUGGGACUGAGGCUCUUCACACAGAUGCCAGAUUAACAACCAGGACAGAUGAUGACUGCACAAGGACUGGGACACAGGAUGGUCCGCGUGUUCUUCCUGAGUACCAGCCAUGUAACACGUCGAGGAGUACUUUAUGGAUUAUAAGAAAAGAAGGAAAGAGGGAAAAAGAGAGGGAGAGGCGUGGUUAUACUAUGCACUUGGAACUUGCGCUUUUUCUUCAAAGCAUUGUGAAUGUUUUUCCAUGUCGACAUGCAACUUAGUUCCUUUAUGAUGCUAUAAGGAGGUGUUUGGAAGCAGCACUGACCACUGAAGGCCCCAGGCUGCUUAGACAAUUCAGGGGGGCACAAGGCCUUCGGAGAGAAGACAGGCUGGGGUCUUUCUGUGGCACUAACGUGACGCAGAGAUGUUUGGGCCUAAUGUAAA